UACCAUAUCAUUUGCUUACCAUCAUAAAUGACAAAUAUAUAUAAUUUUGCCAUCAUGCCUGUCCCCAAACCACUGCCAGCAGGGUACUGUCCUGUGACUCCUGUCCAUGUGACCAUGCAUGUGUCCAUAUAAAAACACUCACAAACAUAUAACCCACGGAUAAAACACUCUUAUUCAGUAGUUUUGUAUCUGUUAUAAAUUCCAUCAUGUCAACUAGCCAUCUGAUUGUAAAUAUAAGUAAUAUUUUUUGACAAACCUCUUAUAUUUUGGGAUUUCAC